rnacentral:rRNA from 1 species
UCGAGCGGUAACAUUUCUAGCUUGCUAGAAGAUGACGAGCGGCGGACGGGUGAGUAAUGCUUGGGAAUAUGCCUUUACGUGGGGGACAACAGUUGGAAACGACUGCUAAUACCGCAUAAUGUCUUCGGACCAAAGGAGGGGACUCUUCGGAGCCUUUCGCGUAAAGAUUAGCCCAAGUGGGAUUAGCUAGUUGGUAAGGUAAUGGCUUACCAAGGCGACGAUCCCUAGCUGGUUUGAGAGGAUGAUCAGCCACACUGGAACUGAGACACGGUCCAGACUCCUACGGGAGGCAGCAGUGGGGAAUAUUGCACAAUGGGCGAAAGCCUGAUGCAGCCAUGCCGCGUGUGUGAAGAAGGCCUUCGGGUUGUAAAGCACUUUCAGUUGUGAGGAAGAGGUAGGAGUUAAUAGCUGUUAUCUUUGACGUUAGCAACAGAAGAAGGACCGGCUAACUCCGUGCCAGCAGCCGCGGUAAUACGGAGGGUCCGAGCGUUAAUCGGAAUUACUGGGCGUAAAGCGUACGCAGGCGGCUUUUUAAGCCAGAUGUGAAAUCCCCGGGCUCAAC